rnacentral:rRNA from 1 species
UACGAAGGGGGCUAGCGUUGUUCGGAAUUACUGGGCGUAAAGCGCACGUAGGCGGAUUGUUAAGUCAGAGGUGAAAUCCCGGAGCUCAACUUCGGAACUGCCUUUGAUACUGGCAAUCUAGAGUCCGGAAGAGGUUAGUGGAAUUCCCAGUGUAGAGGUGAAAUUCGUAGAUAUUGGGAAGAACACCAGUGGCGAAGGCGACUCACUGGACACGUAUUGACGCUGAGGUGCGAAAGCGUGGGGAGCAAACAGG